rnacentral:rRNA from 1 species
UACGUAGGGAGCAAGCGUUGUCCGGAAUCAUUGGGCGUAAAGAGCGCGUAGGUGGCUUUAUAAGUCCGUUGUGAAAGUCAAAGGCUCAACCUUUGAAAGCCGAUGGAUACUGCAGGGCUAGAGUCCGGAAGAGGCGAGUGGAAUUCCUGGUGUAGCGGUGGAAUGCGCAGAUAUCAGGAGGAACACCAAUAGCGAAGGCAGCUCGCUGGGACGGUACUGACGCUAAGGCGCGAAAGCGUGGGGAGCGAACAGG